GACGAACGCUGGCGGCGUGCUUAACACAUGCAAGUCGAACGGUGAACCUCUUCGGAGGGGAUCAGUGGCGAACGGGUGAGUAACACGUGGGCAACCUGCCCCCGGCUCUGGGAUAACUCCAAGAAAUUGGGGCUAAUACCGGAUGUUCACCGCUUCCCGCAUGGGUGGGGUGAAAAGGGUUUCCGGCUGGGGAUGGGCCCGCGGCCUAUCAGCUUGUUGGUGGGGUAGUGGCCUACCAAGGCGACGACGGGUAGCCGGCCUGAGAGGGUGACCGGCCACAAUGGGAAGAAGCCAGGGCCCGGCCCCCUCGGGGGGGAAGCAGUGGGGAAUAUGGGGAAGGGGGCGGAAGCCGGACGCAGCGCCGCGGCGGGGGGGAGGACGGCCUGCGGUUUGAAAACCUCUGCCAGCAGGGAAGAAGCGAAAGGGAGGGUACCUGAAAAAAAAGCCCCGGCCAACUCGGGG
rnacentral:rRNA from 1 species